CACCUCGGACUCGCCCGGAGCUCCGCCCUUCCCUUAGCCCACCUGGACGGAAAGGAAACGGACGGGCAGCUCGGGCCACGCCUCUCACUGUGGGCCCCGCGACAUUUCCGGGCUGGGAGAAGCCGAAGCCCGUAACCUCCAGUUCCCCGCAGCUUGAGGCCACCAGCGCCUGGAGAUUUUCAAACACACUCAAAGAGCUGGGAGGAGCCUGGCGGGGCCACGAAGGAGGGCAGUACUGACUCAUCACGAACCUCCAGGGCCCGGAGCCAGGGCGGCCUGGGCCCAGAGCCUCAGUCCCCUGCAGCCAGGUCAGCAGGAAACUGUCCCCCAAGCCCUCCUGCGCCAAAGAGAGGGCCUUUGGAAGGUGCUUGGAUGGUGGGGGCCACAGCCCAGUGUGCUGUUAGGAGGUGGGAACAAGGCCCCACUGGGGGCCUCCCUCCCCCGCUCCUCCCUUCCCACUCUGCUUCUGGCCUCGAGAGCUCCUUUGCCUCCGCCCUGCCCCUGUGCCAGCCUCCUUCUCCCUGGAGACCCGCAGCGCAAACCCCUGGCUGAAACCGUGAACCAAAAUAAGCCUCCCCUCCUUUAAGCAUGGGAUAUUGUGUCCCAGUGACCAGGACAGUGACUGAGGAACCCAAAGGGACAUCUGGUGACAUCUGAAUCAGUGAGCACUUUAGUCACUGGUACUGAACCUGUCUUUUUGCUGAGGUGCUGACGGUGGGCAGGCGCUGUACCCUCAGCCACAUCCGCAGCCGCACAACCAGGAUCGCCUCGUGUUUACAAAUGUACGGCGGCUGUGCCAACAGUAGGGGGAGCUGGCGGGCGAAUACAUGGGAACUCUAUUUUCAAUCUGUCAAUCUAAUAUCAUCCUUCCCCCAGAGCUUAUUAACAGUCAGAGCUGGGAAGGCAGAGGAGUGGAAAGAAAAAGGCAGAAAUGGAGAGGAUGUGGAGAAAUUGGAAACCCGGGUCUUGCUGGUGGGAAUGUAAAAUAGUGCAGCUGCUAUGCAAAAUACUUUGGCAGUUUCCCAAGAAAUUACACACGAAUGGUCCAGCAUUGCGCUUCUAGGUGUAUGUCGAAAGGAACUGAAAGCAGGGACUUGCACAGAUAUUUGAACGCAAUGUACAUAGCAGCAUUAUUCACAACAGCCAAAAGAAGGAAGCAACCCAGGAACCCAUCAGCACACGGCGGAUAAAGGAAAUGUAAUAUACAUAUCAUGGAGUAUCGGCCUUCAAAAGGACUGAGAUUUUGACAUGGAGAGUUCUUAAAGACAUUAUGCUAAGUGAAAUAUGCUAAUGUGAAGGGUUACAGGAACUACUCCAAGGAGAUGCUGGGAAGUAGCCUGGGAAUGGCCAUCCCUCUCCCAUCAUUUCUCUUCCCUCAAUCCUGCUUCAGCUUCUGUCAGCCUGUGAAGGUCCUGCAGAGUGAGGUUAAGCCUUCCACAGUUCUGAGAUUACAAGCAUGCACCGCCAUGCCCAGCUGGAGCCCACCUUUGUGCACAUCCUUGCCACACACCCUGCUGCGCCUGAUGGUCUUCUGGGAUGUUUACAACGCCGAUCACUUUAUGAAUAUGAAUCCUCUGUCCUCAUCAAGACUGUGCCUGCCUAAAGAAGACAGUUUGGUGGAAGUAGCUUCCCAUACUUCCUGUGGGACCUGGGGUUACUUAGCGCUGUUGAGUCUGGCAAUAACCAGUGUUUGUACCAAUGUCCUCCACUGUGAGCGGGGGUCCCUAAACAAUACCCUCCAGAGUGAGAAUUAUACCCUAGACUUCUCUAUUCCUCACUGAACCCAGGAGGGGGUAAGUACCUCCAUGAACAUUUAUUGAGUUGAACUUUUCUCCAUACCUUUUUAUUGAGAUAUAAUUCACACGCCAUAAAACUUACAACUUGAAAGUGUACAAUUCCAUGGUUUUCAGUAUAUUCACAGGGUGCACAAUCAUCCCUACUGCACAAUCCCAAAAUAUUGUCCUCACCCCAUUCCUCAUACACUUUCUAAAGCUUUAUUUGGUUUUUAAUCACUCAAAAUACACCCUGACUACAUCUCACUAGAUGUAACAAUUCCAUUUCAUAGACACUAAUGGUACUUACUAUGUGUCAGGCACUGUUCUGUGUACUUCACAGGUCACAUACCCUAUGUGGUAGCCAGGUGUGGUGGUGCCUGCUCACAGUCCCAGCCUGUGACCAUGGUGAGACCCUGUCUCAGAUAAACAAUCAUACAUCAUCAUCGUCGUCAUAAUCAUCACCAUCAUCAUUACCAUCAUCAUCAUCACAUUACCAUGCAGAAACUGACACUGAAAAGACAGAAAAUCCUGCCAAGAUCAUAGCUAGAAGUGGCAAAGUUUGGAUUUGAACCCAAGACAUCCGAGUCUACAUUGUUCACCGCUCCCUGCUUUCAGUUGACUAAAGCAUUAAGAUCUAACAACCAAUCCACGGAAACAAACAAAACCCAGCAGCUCCUUUACCACGAGAGGGGCAGGUCAAUGGUGUGCCUGCCUCAGGCCUACGUUCAUGCCAGAGGCGUUGCUUGUUUCCACUGCUCCCAGUUCUCUUUGUGCCAUGUGGGCUGGUUUAGUGCCCCUGUCUAUGUGCCUGGGGCCAUGGCAAAUGUCCAGGCACAGGCACAUCUCUGAAUGUGUCAGGGAGUUCAGUGCUGGAGGGAAGCCAUUCUGGGAGUAAAGCAAUCCGUGGGCCUGGAUUCCCAUGCAUUCAGACUCAAGCCCCUCAGAAAACUCCACAGGACAGGUCCUGCUCCUCACCAUGGAAGGUGGUGCUGCUGACCACUGGGCCUUCCAUUCCCCCAAACUCCCUGCUUAAACUUCUCAGCAGGUCUGCGGCUGACCCUCGCCUCCCCACAGCUGUCUCCUACCUAGUCACCAGGACAGGACAUUGCUCUGGGAAUUCCAAUUUGCUAAGGACCUCAGUCCCAAACAAUAGGUCC
ensembl:lncRNA